UACGAAGGGGGCUAGCGUUGUUCGGAUUUACUGGGCGUAAGGCGCACGUAGGCGGAUCUUUAAGUCAGAGGUGAAAUCCCAAGGCUCAACCUUGGAACUGCCUUUGAUACUGGGGAUCUCGAGUCCGGGGAGAGGUGAGUGGAACUGCGAGUGUAGAGGUGAAAUUCGUAGAUAUUCGCAAGAACACCAGUGGCGAAGGCGGCUCACUGGCCCGGUACUGACGCUCAUGCACGAAAGCGUGGGGAGCAAACAGG
rnacentral:rRNA from 1 species